AUAUGGGGUAGGAAGGUAUUUGGAACGUUCUUCAACGAGUAGAUAUCUUGUGAGGAUUAAAGGCUACCGAUCGAAGAGUGUGUGAAAAGCUUGGAUCAUCGGAGUGACUAAAUCUAGUCAUCAACUUCGGCAAAGGAGAAAUCGCAUAGGAGAUCUCGUCAAGGAAUAUCGUAAAUCAGGUGAGCCUUGAUGUGGGGACUUGG